rnacentral:rRNA from 1 species
UACGUAGGGAGCGAGCGUUGUCCGGAAUUACUGGGCGUAAAGGGCGCGUAGGCGGCCGAUUAAGUUAGAUGUGAAAAACCGGGGCUCAACUCCGGGAUGGCAUUUAAGACUGGUCGGCUUGAGGGUGAGAGAGGAAAGUGGAAUUCCUAGUGUAGCGGUGAAAUGCGUAGAUAUUAGGAGGAACACCAGUGGCGAAGGCGACUUUCUGGCUCAUACCUGACGCUGAGGCGCGAAAGCGUUGGGAGCAAACAGG